CAGUGGGGCUAAGUCUCAGGUUGUUGGGUAUAGGUUUGUACCCUUAGGAGGUUAAGCAUAAUUGGCAAAACUAAUUGAAAUUGCAUAUAAAACCUAUUUUCACUUUAAUACUUUUAUGAUAUUUAUGUGAUAGGCAGUAUUGUACAUUGUCUUUAUUGCAGAGCAUUUGGUAAAAUUGUCAACUAUAUAAUAUCUCAUUUUAGCAUUUGGAAAUCAGUUACCGCCCAUGCAUCAACAGCAAAGGUCUGUAAUGACAGAAGAAUACAAAGUUCCUGAUGGAAUGGUUGGAUUCAUAAUUGGCAGGGGAGGAGAACAGAUCUCUCGCAUACAACAAGAAUCUGGAUGCAAAAUACAGAUUGCACCUGAUAGUGGAGGGCUGCCUGAAAGAUCUUGCAUGUUAACUGGCACACCUGAGUCUGUACAGUAAGUAUUUACUGAAAACUUUCAAAUAAGCUAGCAUGCUUUUAGCAUAUCUAUCCCAUGAAUAUAUUUCAUAGAAAAUAGCCAUACUCAGUAAGGAAUUUCAUGUAAUCUGAAAUGAAGAGUUUUCAUUGCUAUUUCAGUAAGUAAUACAAUGUUUGUAUGAUUAAAGUAUGUUCAAUACAUUUUUGAGCAUUCAUUUCUCUAGUGAUUUUUUUGUAGCUCUACUUCCAAAGUACUGUACAUAUUGCAAAAAUUCCCAGUUGCUGCUUUAGCCACUUAUUAGAAAGCAAAUGUCUUUGACCACAGUACUUUCAGAGCUUAUAUUCAUUCUUAGGCUUAGGCUUUUAUGACUUUAAGUCUCAAGGUUUAAAUUUUGUGGCCUCACCCUGGCUUUCUCAAUAAUACUAUUUUUUCAUAAUUUUGUUUUGGAAGGAUAUUGCACAUCUUGCCCAACUGCAGAACACUAGUUUUGUUCUUAGCUUAUUUUGAAAACUUUGGAAGACUUUGGUAAUGCAUAAUAUUCAUUGCUAUUAGGUUCUGGAAUUUAAAUUUACUAUUGCUUCUACUUGCAAGUAAAGAAAGAAAUAUAAGUGCUAAUGCUCCUGAAUUGUUAACUUUUCAUGAAUUAAUGAUGUAAUAUAGCUCAUGUCUUUGCAUCAGUUGAAGGCUUUCAUUGGUGAAGCAGGAGUAUUUUUAGCAGUUUCGUCUCUAUAGACCCUUAUGGCCACCAACCUGCUCCAGGAUAUUGGGGAGCCUAAGAAACUAAUACGGGUCUGCGAGGAGAGGGUGAAUCACUGAAUUAUCCCCACCCUGCCAGUAUCUGUUAAUGGAAGAUCGCUAUAUUUAUUUGGCCUUUAAUAAUUAGAGAACCCUGUUUUUUAAAUGCUCAUUAAAAGAAUAUUCAGAAAAAUGGUUUUCCUUUAACACUGUAUGACAAAUGCAUUUAAAUUGAUAAAUUGAUGUUAUGUUUUGGAGUGAACCUUUGAAAUUCACCUUGGAUAGGGUAGUCUUUUAGCAAGGUUCAAAAAUUUGCUCUGAAGCAAGACUGUAGAUAUUUUAAGCCAUAGUCAAAUUCAUGUGUAAAAUUCCAAAAUAGAAAUAACCAGUUUCUCAAGACUCUUGGAGGGUUAGCCCCUUGUAUGCCAGUCAGUUGGCAGGGCUGACAUCUUGCCUACUAGAUCUCCUACUGAUCCUGCCUACUUGCAGACAAAUGAGCUUCAUUCUCACUGCAUUUAUUCUUGCUGAUUUCCCCAUUGGCACUCAACACAGAUUAAUUUUGAAUAGGGUGGUCUUCCUAUGCAGCUACGUAGGCUGUAGGAAGAUGUUUUUACUUUUUCCAGUUGGGGCCUAGAGCUACAACCAGAGGACACUGGAUUCCUUUUGCCUGUUUUUCUGAAAGGAUAGACCAGUAGGGUCUACCACAAUAAACAUCAGUCACUCUUUCCUUUCCAUCCAGUGUGACAAAGUUGGUGUAAGAGCACCAGGUAGCUGUAGUAAGAACAGCAACAGGUUAGAGCAAUGGGUAGCUCAGCAUUUCAGAAGGCACCAGUGGCAAUGGAGCAGAUAAGUGGAUGCUCCUUCCCAAACAAUACUAUUAACCCUGAUUUCAAUGGAGAAGGAAUUCACCUGGUGUUUCUCAGGUGGGUGAAAACCGAAGUUGCCAAGAAGGUGAGGGGAGCUUUAACUGCAGCUACAUGAAGAGAGCCAGAUUACCCUCCCCCCCCACCCUAAGAAAAAAAUAAAAGUAAAUCUGAAUGCAGACACAACCUGUUUGCCAGUCAUGGAGCAAUUCUUUAAGACAAUCCAACUCCUCAGAGCCAAGAUCACCUGAUAGGGAGUGCAAGAGAGCCAUGUGAAACAAGCUUACAUGUGGGAAACUAGGGUGCUCAAACAAAAGCACUGUUUACUCUUGAAUACGUCUGCAGGGCAGAUGCCUGAGGGCAAUUGUGCUAAGGCAUUUCUGAUACCCCUGUGUAUCUGAACAAAAGGAACAGCAAGCUUCGGGAGAGAAAAUGAACCAGGUGGCUCUUGAAGUUACCCAAAUUGUCCAUACUGAGCUAUUCCAAAUUCUUCUCAGGAAGAUGUGUGGCACUUUUGGUUGACACCCACACUGAAAAGGGACUCCCCUCUCCAGAAGGAUCAAAACUUGCAUUUCCACAGAAAAAUCCUAGGAUCUCUUCAAUGCCAUUGCCCAUUCAGUUCAAGGAUAUAUGAAAGACAGUCUGCUGGCAUUUAAAUUCUGUUUGCUAUGCAAAGAGAUCAUGGAACAGAUUAAUGUGGCAUUGGUUGAUGCAAGUAUUCCAUCAGAUGAAAUGAAAGUGACACAAGAUACCUGUGUCAAGUGGGUGGAGGUGACACUCCAUAAGGGCUUGGAACACUACUAUUUUCAAAGCAUACACAAUUCUGCAUUUGCUGGAGCUGUAUACAUUUGUACUCAAGACCUAGAAAUAGUGGAAUUAAUGUGGAUGGAAAAAAGAAAAUAGUUGAGAGCAAGGACAAGAAGCCCUUGCCAUAAACCAUGAAGCAGAUGGGAACUCAGUCCAGCUUCUGUUUUUAUGAAUUCUGCUUGUUGCCAGGCUUAUCGGGUCUCAGAGGCCCUGCAGUGGGCAGACUUCUCCAGUUCACAACUUUGGUUAUAUGAGCCUUGAGGUUGGUAACCCACAGCUGUGCUUUUAAGUUAGUUUACCUUUUUGGAACCCCCUCCAAAAUAAAUACCCUUCUGGGCAAUCCCCAAAUCUACACUUCCUCUCCUCUGGCAAAACAUUGCACAUUCUAACAAGCAAACAUUCAGUCCAUAGAGGCAAUUUCCGAGGCAUGAAAGAAGCAGGGUUCUGUCCAAGAAAAUGGAAGUGUAUGCUGUAUCCUGGAUCUCAAAUGGAUGAACAAACUCAUCCUGCAAAAGGCAGGUUAGGAUGAAAACUCUCCCAAAUCCAUUAUUACAACCUUGGGCAACUUCUUUACAUCCAAAGACCUUUGAGAGGGGUAAUUGCAUAUAUCAACCAUCAGUCAUUCUUGGGCAAGACUGUGUCCUUCAAACUGACUUCAGCACUGCCUGAAAAUACAGCACCACUGCAUUUAUGAAAAUUCUGUGGCCCUGGUAGCCUGCUUUAGGCAAUGUAUAUGAUCCUCCAACUGGAUGAUAACCUAAUCCAUUCCUGAACCUGGAUGGAAAACUUGCAAGAAGCGCAGAACACCCUGGAGUGACUCAAGGUGCCUGGUUUCAUUGUAAAUAUGCAGAAGCGUUCUCUGGAAACACAGACUGGAAUGCUGUGAGCUAGUGCUGGACCUACGGAGAAGAGGGUAUAACUUGUACACUUAGAAAAAAGUGGCACAGGAGGAAAGGAUGAAAUCCAUACAACUAAAAGGCUACCUAGGAUCAAGUCAGGAAGCAGUUUGUUGGGGUGUUUCCACACUAUAGACCACUUCCAAAGACUUUUGCUUUGUUCCAAGCACAGAUUGCUCAGCGCAGGUAUGUGCUGAUCCAGGUACCUUGUGUCAUGAUCCUGGCUCUCCCCUUAUUGCACUUAGGCUCCAAAACAGCAGUUUCUUUACAAGCAGAUCUUUAUUGGCAUUUCAUAGAUACAAGGCAAAUUAACUCAGUAAGCUUGAUAGUACAUCUCAGCACAUGUCAGGAAUUAUAGUUGAACCCGAUUUAGGGGCUUCUCCCCAGAAAGUUUUCUUUCAGUAACUGAGGUUCUAACAGGGUGGCUUCUGCUGUUGAAAGGCCAGCCUGCAAGAGCAUUGCAAGCCCGCUAACUCGGCAGCUUAUCUCUCCUAAAGCCACCACAUGGGGCAGGGAAGGGCAAGGCAGUAGCUGUUCCUCCUCUCCUUCAAAACCUGCCGCCCCAUUUCCACUUUACUGGGCAGUGUCCACUUUUAAAGGCCUGAGCUUCUGCCUGGUCUCCCACAAUGCCCUACCUUUGUUUUAUUGUAUUUUAAGUGUUGUAAACUGUCCAGAAAGCCAAGAGCCUUUUGUGAUGGUCUAUAAAAGGUUGAAAUGAAUUAAAUAAAAUCUCUGUCUCAAGGUCCCAUUCGGAAUCUCAGUCCUGCUGACCAUGCAGUUGUGACUGCUUCCAUUCAUACAUCUUGUUGACUAUGGAUGGUGAUGCCAUAGGUUGGCUAGAAGAGCAUCACUGACUCAGUCCAACAGUAUCAUAUUACAACACAGAAUCAUAGAGUAGCACAGUUGGACCUAGUGGCUCUCUGGAUUCUUCCAACAGAUGCUGUUCUCUUUGGAAAUCUAUAGAGUCCAGGGUAACCUGAACAAAAAUAGUCAAAGAACAAGUAAAGUCCUUGUCUGGGACUUAAGGCCAUUAAGUUGGCACUAAUAACCUUUCAAGGACAGAUAAACAGGCUGUAUGUGUUAAGAUGCAAUAAAUAAGAUGUAUAGCAUAGCAUGUCAGCAAAGGUCUUCACAAACGGGCACAAAAUCAUGUACCAUGCACAGGGCAGCUUUGAAAGUCUUGAGAAGAACAAGGGAAAAUCUUCCCUUGAUCAAAGCCAGACAUGGGUAGUAAAGUUAAAUUAGAUAGACCUGACUUAGUUAAAUAGCAAUUCAAAUGAAGGUGGGUGCUUCAUCUGCAGGCUUUUCAGCAGAUAGUUAACUGUUUUGAAAGAGUAAAGUAGACCUAUUUGUGACCUUUCCAAAUACAAAGCUGAGCCUUGGCACAAGACCCAUGUCCAAAAGCAGUGGGACACAAGGCUUGUGAUGUUUAAUGGUUUGGGGGUGGUUGUGUUCUUUUCUGCCAUUGCCUCUCCUAACAAAGUUUAGGGGAUCAAGUAUAACUGUUUCUAAUGGCACCAUUUUGGAUGUUCUGUUGCCAUCAUUUUGACAACAUAAGAAUGCUGGAGAUUUCCAGUCCCAAGAUAAUCAGCCAUUACAGGAGACUACUGUUUCAUCUACAGCCUCUCAUGUUUUACCUGACAGAUGGAAGCUGAACAGCAACAGCUUAGGUACCUAUGGUAUUCAUAAAAUCAUAGACUCAUAGAAUCAUAGUCUGAAUAGUAGAGUCUGAAGGGGCCAGAGGGCCAUUAGGACUCUAUAGGACUCCAAGGUAAACCAUGCCUCUCAGAUGGCUAUCCAGCUGUAUCUCGAAUGCCUCUAAUAUGGGAGAGCCCAUAUUUUCCCUAGGUAAUUAGUUUCAUUGUCAUAUUGCUCUAACAGAAAGUUCUUCUGAUGUUUAGUUGAAACUUGACUUCUGUAACUUUCCCUGUCCUGUACUCUGGGAGGAUCAAGAAUCUGACUGAACACACUUAAGAGCCCAUUAUCUGGCCUAUGCUGUGGUGGUGAGGGCGGCGAAAAA